rnacentral:tRNA from 1 species
ACCCAAGUGGAUCAAGGCAGUGGAUUGUGAAUCCACCAUGCGCGGGUUCAAUUCCCGU